rnacentral:rRNA from 1 species
AGAAUCAACGCUGGCGGCGUGCCUAACACAUGCAAGUCGCACGAGAAAGGGGAGCAAUCCCUGAGUAAAGUGGCGCACGGGUGAGUAACACGUGAAUGAUCUACCUCCGAGUGGGGAAUAACCAAAGAAAUUUGGCUAAUACCGCAUAACACUUACGAGUCAAGGCAGCAAUGCGCUUGGAGAGGAGUUCGCGGCAGAUUAGCUAGUUGGCGGGGUAAUGGCCCACCAAGGCGAUGAUCUGUA